rnacentral:rRNA from 1 species
AGCGAACGCUGGCGGCAUGCUUAACACAUGCAAGUCGCACGGGCAGCACUGUCUUUGGCGGACGGGUGAGUAACGCGUAGGCACGUGUCCUGAGGUGGGGCACAACCCUGGGAAACUGGGGCUAAUACCGCAUAUGGGCUGAGGCCCAAAGCCGAGUGCCGCCUUUGGAGCGGGCUGCGUCCGAUUAGGGAGUUGGUGGGGUAAAGGCCUACCAAGGCUGCGAUCGGUAGCUGGUCUGAGAGGACGACCAUCCACACUGGGACUGCGGCACGGCCCAGACUCCUACGGGGGGCAGGAGUGGAGAAUAUUAGGCGAUGGGCGAAAGCCUGAUCCAGCAAUGCCGCGUGGGUGAAGAAGGUCUUCGGAUCGUAAAGCCGUUUCGACGGGAACGAUAAUGACGGUACCCGUAGAAGAAGCCCCGGCUAACUUCGUG